rnacentral:tRNA from 1 species
GCCCAUGUAGCUCAGUGGUAGAGCACUUCCUUGGUAAGGAAGAGGUCUCGGGUUCAAGCCCCGAUAUGGGCUCCA